CCUGGGUGCCUGCCAAAGGCUUGGGGCUCACCUCGCUCCUGAGCCAAGGUACACCCUGGUGCUGCCUGGGGCACACCACGUGCAUCACAGAUCCUCCUGCACUGCCAGGUUAGAGCAACAGCAGCCACCACCAUCCAGGCCGACAGGAUUCUUCUUCAGUGUGAAGAUGAUACAUCCCUCUGACUGUUGUUCUGAGGCUGGGUGCAGAAAUUAGAGGUGCCUGGACUGGGGGCACUGCCCAUCCUGGAGGGAAGUUUCACCAAGCUGUCCUCUGUCCCAGACCAUGAGUAGGGCCAUCAGCCAGGGUUGUCCUCCCUAAAGGGGACAAGGAGGAGAAAAAGGUUGGGGAUGGCUUUUUUUCAGGCUCAGAGUCAGAGCAGCUCCUGCAUAGAGCAAGCAUGGGGAGAAGAUUAAGUUAUCAUUUGUUUAUUGUUUUGUUUUUUUAAGAUAUUUAUUUAUUGUAUAUAUGUGAGUACACCAUUGCUC
rnacentral:lncRNA from 1 species